UACGAAGGGGGCUAGCGUUGCUCGGAAUCACUGGGCGUAAAGCGCACGUAGGCGGAUCCUUAAGUCAGGGGUGAAAUCCCAGAGCUCAACUCUGGAACUGCCUUUGAUACUGGGUAUCUUGAGUAUGGAAGAGGUAAGUGGAAUUGCGAGUGUAGAGGUGAAAUUCGUAGAUAUUCGCAGGAACACCAGUGGCGAAGGCGGCUUACUGGUCCAUUACUGACGCUGAGGUGCGAAAGCGUGGGGAGCAAACAGG
rnacentral:rRNA from 1 species